UACACACCGCCCGUCACACCAUGGGAGUUGGCUUUACUUGAAGGCGGUGCGCUAACCCGCAAGGGAGGCAGCCGACCACGGUAGGGUCAGCGACUGGGGUG
rnacentral:rRNA from 1 species